rnacentral:lncRNA from 10 species
UCGAACUGCCCUGACUGCCUUUGUUACGAUACCUACCCGUGGCUUGCUUGUGCCAACUCUGAAAACACAGGGCUGCCUGAGGGAGCUCUCGUGUUAGCAAGCAGCAGCUCGUGGGUAAGGAAAGCCCCUUCAUUUAUUAACAUUAAAGUGAUUGCAAACUCGUAGGUGAGAUACUUAUGCAUUGGGCUCUGUCUGGAUAAUUCACCUGUAUUAACUCAGCCGAUCCUCUUAACUCCAUAAGGAAGGAAUCCUUAUUGUCCCCAUCUUAAAGACCUCCGAAACGAAACCAGAGAUACUGAAUGAUUUGCCUGGGAUGACUCCGCUACCACUUGGCACAGCCACGGUGCAAACCCAGUUGGGCUGGCACUGAACACCCAGACUGUAGAUCCCUCCUGCCUGACUCAAGAGCCUCUGUCUAUAUGGAAGCAAUCAACUUAAGGUCACAAGAGGCCCAUUUCAGAAUGGGUUCUGUCCCACACUCUGGAGGAAGGAAUGCUGUAUGAGGAGGCCUAGAAGAAUCUGAACAGACAGGCUUUACUGGAGUUCCCCACUCGGCCCGUUAGUAUUAGACCAGAUCUUUUUGUCCAGUCACAUUUCUACGUGGUUGCCUAUCAAAGAAGUCUCUAUAAAAAGUCCAAGAGAACAGGGUUUGGGGAGCUUCCAGGAGGCAGGAAGGUGAACAAGAAUUCAUCCACAUGCCAGACAGCUGGUGCAUCCCAAAUCCAUGGAGACAGAAGCUCCUGCACUCAGACCCUUCCAGACCUCACCCUACAUGUUUCUUCAUCUGGCUGUGUAUUUGUAUCCUUUGAAAUAUCC